rnacentral:rRNA from 1 species
AUUGAACGCUGGCGGCAUGCCUUACACAUGCAAGUUGAACGCGAAAGCGGGGCAACCCGCAAGUAGAGUGGCGAACGGGUGAGUAAUACAUCGGAACAUAUCCAGUAGCGGGGGAUAACCUGUCGAAAGAUAGGCUAAUACCGCAUACGACCUACGGGUGAAAGCGGAGGACCGCAAGGCUUCGCACUAUUGGAGUGGCCGAUGUCGGAUUAGCUAGUUGGCGGGGUAACGGCCCACCAAGGCGACGAUCCGUAGCUGGUCUGAGAGGACGACCAGCCACACUGGAACGGAGACACGGUCCAGAGUCCUGCGGGAGGGAGCAGUGGGGAAUUUUGGACAAGGGGCGCAAGCCGGAUCCAGCAAUGCCGCGUGAGUGAAGAAGUCCUUCGGGUUGUAAAGCUCUUUCGGCGGGAACGAAAUGGUUCGUGCUAAUACCACGGACUAAUGACGGUACCCGAAGAAGAAGCACCGGCUAACUACGUGCCAGCCGCCGCGGUAA